rnacentral:rRNA from 1 species
GUGGGGAAUCUUGGACAAUGGGCGCAAGCCUGAUCCAGCCAUGCCGCGUGAGUGAAGAAGGCCUUAGGGUUGUAAAGCUCUUUUACCAGGGACGAUAAUGACGGUACCUGGAGAAUAAGCCCCGGCAAACUUCGUGCCAGCAGCCGCGGUAAUACGAAGGGGGCUAGCGUUGUUCGGAAUUACUGGGCGUAAAGCGCACGUAGGCGGGUCGUUAAGUCAGGGGUGAAAUCCCGGAGCUCAACUCCGGAACUGCCUUUGAUACUGGCGAUCUAGAGGUCGAGAGAGGUGAGUGGAAUUCCGAGUGUAGAGGUGAAAUUCGUAGAUAUUCGGAAGAACACCAGUGGCGAAGGCGGCUCACUGGCUCGAUACUGACGCUGAGGUGCGAAAGCGUGGGGAGCAAACAGGAUUAGAAACCCUGGUAGUCC